rnacentral:lncRNA from 13 species
GUAACUUUUACUUUUAGAAUUGAAGUUAGAAAUAUCCUUUAAAGUUCAUCUGGACCUGCUCAGAGUUCUAAAGCAGUGACAAGAUGGUCUUGUACCAGUGAAGAUCUGUACCAGUGGCAAUAGCCUGUUUCCUCCCAAAAUCCUUCAGUAUAAGACUGUAAAGAGCAUUAGUAGAAAGAAGAAUACCUAAUUUCUACUCGCUGAUGUAAUCUUCAUCUUCAUGUGAAGAGCACAAAGAUGACUUCGUGUUGCCACAAGAGUGUUCCCAUCACAUCUCUCAAGGGAUGAUAAAGGUCAGUUGUACUCACCCCGAUUUAUAUUAUUUUUGGCUUCCUCCAUAAACCAAAACUGAAACACUAUUGAUGUGGUAUUAUAAAAGAAAAUACAUACACUCGGGAAAAUAUUAGCAAAUUGGAAAUUCCCAACAUAUUGCAAUAUGUUUAAAAGCCUCACUAGAGACUCAUCUGGCAUUCAUGUUGUUAUGAUUUGCUUUCAUGUUCUUGUUUUCUAUUCAUCUUCUAUUGAUCAAUUGGCAUUUCCCAGUCAUUGAAAGGCCUUGUUCCUGCUCCUGCUCGAAGCAUGAGAAGAAAGCAAACAGCAAUUUACCGUUCUUCUUGUUCUUCUACCUAUUAGAAGAAUAUCUCUGGCUUAAAAUUAAGAAGAGAGAUCUGGGAGAAAAAGCAACGUAUGAACUAGGAAGACCAUUACCUAACACCUCCAUGGAUCCAGACUCUCUCCCCAAGUGGAACAUUGUCGUGGAUGGUGUGCAUACCACCUGGACAACUACCUGACCACCUUCCAUCCAGUCGGCUCCUCCGUGACCCAUCCUGAUCACUAUCAGAGGUUUGACGUGAAGGCUUUUGCCUUUGUAUCGGAAGCCCACAUGCUCUCUGGGAUGGUCUACUUCCACUGCAGUGUCUGAAUCUGCAAUCGACUCUCUCCUGACUCCCCUCUGUGUUCUGUGACCUGCCCUGUAUCAUCUAGGCACAAGCGAGCCACAGGGACCAAUGAAGCAAAGACAAUGACAGUCAGUCUCCUGGGACCCAUUCUCCUGUUGUCAGAUGACUCCUCAUUCAGAGGUGUCGACCCAUCUGAUCUGAGGCUGUUAAAAGCAAGUGGGAGCCGUGGGGAGAAGAGUAGGAGUGAAACCAGGGAGGAGGCAGGCUCACAGGAUGUUACUGACACCAAAGGGCACAAGACUACUGGGGAUGUUGCUUCCAAAGCUGUGGCUGCUGUGGCCACCUUAGCUGGCAUGGUGGCAACUCUAGGCUUCAUCUGCUACCUGUGCAAGAAAAGGAUUGUGUCAAAUCACUAAUUGGACUUAUAAAUAAAGCAGUCAAAAAAGAAACA